CUGGUAUAUUUCUGGAGUUCCUCAAGCUCCGUCACGAAGUCAGCCUUCCUCCGGAUAUAGUCCAUGAGACCCUUUCUGUGGAGGUUCUAAAAGAGAAUAGCCUCUGCAGUGACUUUCGAAUGGCUCUUUCUCAGCCGGUGAAGUUCGUCAUCCAGGUUUUUGGAUUUCUUCAUCAAGUGACAAACUUUUCUUUUGAGAUCCCAGAUCAUGGACUUCAAAGGGAUCCCCUGCGGCAGGGGAAGAGCUUCAGC
rnacentral:lncRNA from 1 species